CUGAACCUCUGAUUGAUCACCUGAGGCCAGCACUGAGUCAGCCACGGGAGCACAGGUGAAGGCAAUUCAGCUGUGCUGCCAGAAGGGAUGGAGCCUGGCUGCACCUCUCCUAGACCCAUUUAAGAGCUGACCACCAGGGGGGAGGAUCUCUUCUGGAGGUCUACUCCACUUGAGUUUCCUAAAUGAGCCUGGGUUAUGGGUUUUCAGUCAUGAAAAGUGAAAAUUCAUGGUUGAAAUGCUGGGGCCCUUUCCCCUUCAAGUCUGGUCAUAGUUAUAACUUCUGUGCACAAUUUCAUCAAGACACUUUUCCUCUGCUCUGCCCCUCAGGAGGUGUUUUGUCCUCUCUCCUGGUUGUGCGCAGAGGAAGCACAACUGUUUGUUGGUGACAUUUCUGGUGACAUUUCUCCCAUGGGCCCAGUAGCAGAGCUUCAGGUGCCCUCUGCUGCUGUUCAUUCUGUUCUGCUGCAACCUCACCUGAGCAACGCUUCCCUUUGGCUUCCUGGCAUGGGGAAAAGGUCACCAAGAAAAGAGAGGACUUUAAAGAUGUAUCCAGAAACUCUUAAUGCUUCUGAGUAAUGAGUCAUGGAACUGUGAGGGAAAAAAAGUAAAGGGAAAGCAAGACCUACAAAAACUUGGUGCCGUUUAAAUGUCAGGCAGAUUUUCAACAGGGCUUCGUUAAUGAAAUACCAUUUUCCCAACUGAUGCUGUGUAAACAGCAUUUUGUCUUCAGAAAUCCUGAUGGAGUACUGAUAGUCCAGCUGAGGUAUAUCAGAAAUACUUUUCCCUCCUGCCACAGCUAAUGAACAAUGAAUUCCCUCUAGGUUCAUGCAGGGAACAUCAUUUCCUCUGCGUCCAAGUGCUCACCCUGAGUACUGGUGUGGGAGGAUAGCACUGAAUGGCCCAAAGGGAAA